UGACUCAAACCCAAGAUGGGAAAGGAAAAGAUUCACAUCAACAUCAUCGUCAUUGGACAUGGAGAUUCCGGCAAGUCUACCACGACUGGCCAUCUGAUGUACAAAUGUGGUGGGAUCGACAAAAGAACCAUCAAGAAAUAUGAGAAGGAGGCUGCCCAGAUCGGGAAGGGCUCCUUCAAGUAUGCCUGGGUCUUGGAUAAACUGAAAGCUGAAUGUGAGUCAGGUAUCACCAUUGAUAUUUCCCUGUGGAAAUUCAAGACCAGCAAGUAUUAUGACCAUCAUUGAUGCCCCAGGGCACAGAGACCUCAUAAAAAAACAUGAUUACAGGCACAUCUCAGGCUGCCUGUGCUGUCCUGAUUGUUGCUGCUGGUGUUGGUGAAUUUGAAGCAGGCAUCUCCAAGAAUGGGCAGACCCGUGAGCAUGCCCUUCUGGCCUACACACUGGGUGUGAAACAGCUGAUUGCUGGUGUUAACAAAAUGGAUUCCACUGAGCCACCCUACAGCCAGAAAAGAUACNAAAAUAUAUUUAAAAAAAAGAAAAAGAAAAUUGGCUACAACCUUGACACAGUAGCAUUUGUGCCGAUUUCUGGUUGGAAUGGUGACAACAUGCUGGAGCCAAGUGCUAAUGUGCCUUGGUUCAAGGGAUGGAAGGUCACCCGUAAAGAUGGCAAUGCCAGUGGAACCACACUGCUUGAAGCUCGGGAUUGCAUCCUGCCACCAACUCGUCCAACUGACAAGCCCCUGCGUCUGCCCCUCCAGGAUGUCUACAAAAUUGGCGGCAUUGGUACAGUCCCUGUGGGCCGAGUGGAGACUGGUGUUCUCAAGCCUGGCAUGGUGGUCACCUUUGCUCCAGUCAAUGUUACAACUGAAGUGAAGCCUGUUGAAAUGCACCAUGAAGCCGUGAGUGAAGCUCUUCCUGGGGACAAUGUGGGCUUCAACGUCAAGAACGUGUCUGUCAAAGAUGUUCGCCGUGGCAAUGUGGCUGGUGACAGCAAAAAUGAUCCACCAAUGGAAGCAGCUGGCUUCACAGCUCAGGUGAUUAUCCUGAACCAUCCAGGCCAAAUCAGUGCUGGAUAUUCACCUGCAUUGAACUGUCACACAGCUCACAUUACUUACAAGUGUAUUAAGCUAAAGGAGAAGACUGAUUAUUGUUCUGGGAAAAAUCGAGAAGAUGGCGCUAAGUUUUUGAAAUUUGCCGAAACCGAUGGCCCCAAGUUUUUGAAAUCUGGUGAUGCUGCCAUCGUUGAUAUGAUUCCUGGCAAGCCCAGGUGUGUUGAGAGCUGCUCUGACUACCCUCCUCCGGGCCGUUUCGCUGUUCGUGACAUGAGACAGACAGUUGCUGGGGGUGUCAUCAAAGCCGUGGCUGAGAAGGCAGCUGGAGCUGGCAAAGUCACCAGGUCGGCCCAGAAGCUCAGAAGGUAA